rnacentral:rRNA from 1 species
AUUGAACGCUGGCGGCAGGCCUAACACAUGCAAGUCGAACGAGUGGCGGACGGGUGGGUAAUGUCUGGGCAACUGCCUGAGGGAGGGGGAUAACUACUGGGCACGGUAGCUAAUACCGCAUACCAUCAGAUGUGCCCAGAUGGGAUUAGCUUGUUGGUGGGGUAACGGCUCACCAAGGCGACGAUCCCUAGCUGGUCUGAGAGGAUGACCAGCCACACUGGAACUGAGACACGGUCCAGACUCCUACGGGAGGCAGCAGUGGGGAAUAUUGCACAAUGGGCGCAAGCCUGAUGCAGCCAUGCCGCGUGUAUGAAGAAGGCCUUCGGGUUGUAAAGUACUUUAAGCGGGGAGGCGUUACCCGCAGAAGAAGCACCGGCUAACUCCGUGCCAGCCGCCGCGGUAAUUC